rnacentral:rRNA from 1 species
AUUGAACGCUGGCGGCAGGCCUAACACAUGCAAGUCGAACGAGUGGCGGACGGGUGAGUAAUGUCUGGGAAACUGCCUGAUGGAGGGGGAUCACUACUGGAAACGGUAGCUAAUACCGCAUACCAUCGGAUGUGCCCAGAUGGGAUUAGCUAGUAGGUGGGGUAAAGGCUCACCUAGGCGACGAUCCCUAGCUGGUCUGAGAGGAUGACCAGCCAUACGGGCAUUGAGCAACGGUCCAGACUCCUACGUGAGGCAGCAGUGGGGAAUAGUGCACAAGGGGCGCAAGCCUGAUGCAGCCAUGCCGCGUGUAUGAAGAAGGCCUUCGGGUUGUAAAGUACUUUCAGCGGGGAGGCGUUACCCGAAGAAGAAGCACCGGCUAACUCCGUGCCAGCAGCCGCGGUAAUUC